UACGUAGGGGGCAAGCGUUGUCCGGAUUUAUUGGGCGUAAAGAGCGUGUAGGCGGUCAUGUAGGUCCGUUGUGAAAACUCGAGGCUCAACCUCGAGACGCCGGUGGAAACCGUAAAGCUAGAGUCCGGAAGAGGAGAGUGGAAUUCCUGGUGUAGCGGUGAAAUGCGCAGAUAUCAGGAGGAACACCCGUGGCGAAAGCGGCUCUCUGGGACGGUACUGACGCUGAGACGCGAAAGCGUGGGAGCAAACAGG
rnacentral:rRNA from 1 species